ACGAACGCUGGCGGCGCGCUUAACACAUGCAAGUCGAGCGGUCUGGGGGCAACUCCAGGCAGCGGCGGACGGGUGCGUAACACGUGGAUAAUCUGCCCUCGAGACGGAGAUAACCAGCCGAAAGGUUGGCUAAUACCCGGUAAGCUCACGGGCCCGCAGGGGCCAGGGAGAAAAGUCGAAAGACGCUUGAGGAUGAGUCCGCGGCCCAUCAGGUAGUUGGCGGGGUAAAGGCCCACCAAGCCUACGACGGGUAGCUGGUCUGAGAGGACGACCAGCCACACUGGAACUGAGACACGGUCCAGACUCCUACGGGAGGCAGCAGUGGGGAAUCUUGCGCAAUGGGCGAAAGCCUGACGCAGCGACGCCGCGUGUGCGAUGAAGGUCUUCGGAUCGUAAAGCACUGUCGCCCGGGAAAAAGAAAGUGAUGGUACCGGGAGAGGAAGCACCGGCUAACUCUGU
rnacentral:rRNA from 1 species